rnacentral:rRNA from 1 species
UGGGGAAUAUUGCACAAUGGGCGCAAGCCUGAUGCAGCCAUGCCGCGUGUGUGAAGAAGGCCUUCGGGUUGUAAAGCACUUUCAGCGAGGAGGAAGGUGGUGAACUUAAUACGUUCAUCAAUUGACGUUACUCGCAGAAGAAGCACCGGCUAACUCCGUGCCAGCAGCCGCGGUAAUACGGAGGGUGCAAGCGUUAAUCGGAAUUACUGGGCGUAAAGCGCACGCAGGCGGUUUGUUAAGUCAGAUGUGAAAUCCCCGGGCUCAACCUGGGAACUGCAUUUGAAACUGGCAAGCUAGAGUCUCGUAGAGGGGGGUAGAAUUCCAGGUGUAGCGGUGAAAUGCGUAGAGAUCUGGAGGAAUACCGGUGGCGAAGGCGGCCCCCUGGACGAAGACUGACGCUCAGGUGCGAAAAGCGUGGGGAGCAAAACAGGAUUAGAUACCCUGGUAGUCCACGCUGUAAAACGAUGUCGAUUUUGGAGGUUGUGCCCUUGAGGCGUGGCUUCCGGAGCUAACGCGUUAAAUCGACCGCCUGGGGAGUACGGCCGCAAGGUUAAAACUC